rnacentral:lncRNA from 1 species
UUCUUGGGGAAUUGCACCUUGCUUGAUUUCAUUGCCUUGAGACCAUUUUAGCAUUAUUCGAUUACUUGGAAGUUCAGGAAAAUCCAUCACUUGAUCACUCUAUAGUAGUCCCUAUCUCUUUGAAAUUCGGAUGAAUUGAGCUUUAUCUUAUAUAUUUGAACUUAAUCUGGACUUAAUUUAUCUCACUUAGGUGCUUGAGAAUCAUGUAAUGGAUCAUACAUUCAGAGUUUUGUUCGCAUCAUUUUUAUCACUCUUUGCUAACUCUGAAUGGCUAGACUCAUUUUUAGUCUAGUACCGCGCCUGUUUCCCCACCCAUUGUUUGAAACCUCAUGCAUUCUUAUAUGAUCAUCAUGAUAUGCAUCCAUGUGCGAAAACUACGGAGUAUACGGACCGACAUAGCUUUCCUUUUGUUAGGAUAGUGAGUUGUCGUUUACUGGUUGUCGAUAUGUGAUGAGAUUGAGCCAUUGUGGUUUAGAGGCUAUAUUCAUGGGCAUAUGCUGCUGUUUGCGAUUUUUCUUGAUGCAGAUUUUUGUGAGACACCGGUUCCACUCCCCCGUUUUUUUUCAAAAAAAAAAAAAAAAAAAAAAAAAAAAAAACGAAAAUAAAAAGAAAGAGCGGGAAAUGAGAGUGAUUGGAACCAAAAAUGUCAGGUUAUUUUUAGUCAUAUUCAUAAGCAUCAAGGGUACUUAAUGUUUCGAUCGGGGUCCGUGUUGGUUAGUGUGAUCCGAGCUUAAGGGAAGCUAUGUACCUCCUAGUUGGUCUGUGUCUCACUGUGAUUUCGCAUAAUGACAUGCAUCCGUUUUACACUGUUUGAGAACCCGAAACACUUAGAGCCACCGAAUAUUAGCCUUUUUACCAAGCCCAUAACGUGUUCGAUACCCCCUUUGUGAGAAUACACGCCACUGCUAAUAAAUGUUAAAAGGUUAAGUUAUCUGAUUCUGAAAGUUCUUUUAGAUCUCGGGACUUAAUUUUGUUGCUACGGUUAUGGCGAAGUACAGUCUAGUACGGUUUGAUGAGUUUUGUGAUAGUGGUUUGCAGGCAAGUGAUAAGAUCAUGAUCCCGAAGAAAAUGUGAGUUCUCGUAUUUUCAAACCUCUUCUCUUGAUAAGGAUUUCUGCUUUCCUUGAGGACAAGCAAAGAUCUAAGUCGGGGGGAGUUGAUAUGUUGUGUUUUUAUCGGUUUUGAGUCUUUGUUUUCUUUCCUACAUCAUAUGUUUUAUAGAGUCAAAGUGUGUUUUUAGAGUCUUUUAGUCUUUUAUCGAGUCUUUACAGGUUUUAGGUUGCUUUGGAGGAAAACGAGCUGUUUUGGGUUAUAAACACACAUUUGGAGAUGCAGUUUCGUUUAGAAGUGUCAGACGUUUGGCCUCAGAUGGAAGACUUCCCACCGUUAGAUCUUUCUGAAGUUUUGACACAA